UACAGCCAAGGCCCACAUUGCAGAUUCAAACAAAGGAAGUUAAAGUUCAUUGGUAUUUUUCUUUGGUUGGGUCAAAAGAAGAUUGAAAUUGAUGAGAGAACUAGAGGGUGUUACACAGACUGAACACCGUUUAUAAAGUACUUGGGAUUUAUUUCUACUUUUGGAGAGCAGGAGAAACACAUCCAUACCUCAGGGAAGGAGAAUGGGGACAAAUUGUGCCUUAAGGGCCAGAUCUGCAAGUGGAUCCAUAUGGAGAAAUCUUUAUGUGUUGGGAACAUCAUUCAAGUCAACGGGACGCUGUGAGGGCACAGAAGCUUGCCAGGUCCAAACUGCAAUUUGAAAAGUGUUUUGUGUUCCUUCAAGGGAUACCUUUGGAACCACAGAGGGGCUUUUUCCUUGGCUCUGAAGACAGAAUUUGGCCCUUUGCAAUCAGUUCAACUUCUGUCAGUUUUGCUGUCUGCCUCAAUAGCUGCCCUUGCAAUAUGAAAGAGAGAAGAGGCAUGUGUGAAUCUGGCCCAGGAGGGAAUAAGGAGAGAAGAAAGGCUGGGAGUUUGACUCAGCAGGAGAAUUAUGGACAAGAUUAGUGUGGCCAUCUGUGUGUCUCCCCAAGUGGAUUUUUUGGUCCCUACAAUGCUAAGACUCCUUCUUGUGAUCAGGAGAUCAUGGCUGCAGCCCUGCAGUGUGGCUGGUGUAGAAAUUUAUUACAGACUUCCUUAUUUGUGCCUUCUUGCCCAAGCCCAGUGGAAGUCAGUUCAAAAUUCCCAUUGGCACCUCAGGCUGUUUACCACUAGCUCCGUAGCUUACUUCUCCUCAUGGCCCUGCAGUCUGCCACAGAUGGAAAAACAGAGUCAUGAGAAUCUUCUGAUUUGAUCCCUUCAGUCUGGACUGAGAGUGAAGAUCUCCACAAGAGCUGCUAACGUGUAGAGACAGGAGCUGCAGUUUGUAGUAUAUUGAAGAAGGACAAGGGCAAAUGGAGAAUGGAAGAAAUGGGAGGAGUGUGGAGAAAAGUUUAAAAGCAAGAUAAAGACAAAGAGUAAGAAGACUUCUCAGGGUCAGAUAGAAUCUGAUAAACUUUGAGAAAAGCCUCAAGAUACUUGGAGGUGUUUUCAAAACCUUCCAACCUUGCAACAUUCUCCCAUCAUAGUCUGGGGUGAAGUGAUUUAUGAAUAUACAUACCUACACAGUUCUCUGUGAUCAUCUUGAUAAGCUCUGUUUCCACAUGCCUGCCAAUCCUCUCUAGUCCUUCCAUCUGAGCCUGCAAAGUUUUGAUGAUACAACACCACAGCUUCUUGGCUUUCAUUUGAUUUAAAAUUUGUGAUUGCAAUUAUGGACUGCACAUUUCCAUGGGCUUACUGCUGCAUAGGAAGGCUUUUGUGUCCAAGGUAUUGGCAGUGUAGCAUGGCAACUUAAGGGAUGCUAAUAUAGCAGAGGCCUGAGUAUCCUGAAACCUGUCAAGUACGUGGGGGAAAAAACUUGACUGUUAAUUUGAUUCAGAGCACCACAACAACUGUCCAUACUGGCAUGACUCCUUCAGGGUAGAAAAUUUAUAUAUCUGUGUAAAUACUAAGCAAAAAAACCAGAAGACAUUCAUCACAUAUAUAAAAAUAGAGCUGUGGUUAAUAUAGUGUACACUGUGGUCUGUUACUGCUCUGGGAUAUGGUAUCUCUGCUGCUUACAUGGCUAUGAUGUAUCUACUUAUGAGACAUCAGUGUUCCGCCUUUACAAUUAUGUCGGAUUAUACCACUACACUUUGUCUUUACCACACUCCUCCUUGCCCAGGAAAUGUAUGAAGAAAAUGGCCUGUUCCAAGUAGACAGUGCAGGUGAAGUAAUGUCAUGGCAGCUAGCAAGAAACUCAAAUUUCCACUUGAGAAAAAAAUGAAAGUUAUUUAAAAAGUCUAAUUCAAAAUUUUAACUGUAAAAAAAUAUUUUUUGUAACAUUAAUAAAAUAAAAAAUAUGUAUUGGAGAGUUGUACUUGAAAAAUGUAAAAUUGUACAAUGACAUAAAUAACCUGAGUGCAUUCCUUUACAUAUAGAGCUCAUUCAUUAGAUUUAAUAUUUGUAUGAACAUGUUAAGGGAAAAAAAAAUAAUCAAAAUUAGAGAAAAUAUCAGAAAAAUAUUUUUACUUAAACAGUGUAAUGUUUGUCAAAUUUGUCAAACAGCAACAGUGACUUGCUGGUUUCUUCCCCCAGAAUUUCACUGAAAUAAAUGUGCAUUUCAAAGACGUUUUGAUUUGUUUUUAAAUGAAAUUCUUUAACAGAAAUGUCUAUUAGGUAUUAUCACCAGCUUGAUCAUGCUAUGAAAUUCUAUAUAUGAACCACUUUCAACACAAAAAUCUUUGCUACCUCUUGCUGAUCUGUCUUUUGUUUUGAGUUCUUUGCUAAUAAGUAAUGAAAAUGUUACAACCUUACAGCUUGUUUUGUGGUUGCAAUUACGUAAUCAUUAUUAAUGAAGCAACAAUGUCAAAACUGUGUGAAACCGAACUCAUAUUUAAGCACUUACAAUAAACAGAUAUAAAACAA